AAUCAACGCUGGCGGCGUGCCUAACACAUGCAAGUCGAACGAGAAAGUGGAGCAAUCCAUGAGUAAAGUGGCGACCGGGUGAGUAACACGUGACUAACCUACCUUCGAGUGGGGGAUAACCUCGGGAAACCGGGGCUAAUACCGCAUAACAUCUUUGAAGUGGAAAUUUCGGAGAUCAAAGGAGCAAUUCGCUGGAAGAGGGGGUCGCGGCUGAUUAGCUAGUUGGCGGGGUAACGGCCCACCAAGGCUAGAUCGGUAGCCGGCCUGAGAGGGCGCACGGCCACACUGGAACUGAAACACGGUCCAGACUCCUACGGGAGGCAGCAGUGGGGAAUUUUGCGCAAUGGGGGAAACCCUGACGCAGCAACGCCGCGUGGAGGAUGAAGUCCCUUGGGACGUAAACUCCUUUCGACCCGGACGAUAAUGACGGUACGGGUGGAAGAAGCCCCGGCUAACUUCGUGCCAGCAGCCGCGGUAAG
rnacentral:rRNA from 1 species